UACGUAGGGGGCAAGCGUUGUCCGGAAUCAUUGGGCGUAAAGAGCUCGUAGGCGGCCUGUUACGUCUGCUGUGAAAUCCCGGGGCUUAACCCCGGGCGUGCAGUGGAUACGGGCAGGCUGGAGGCAGGCAGGGGAGAACGGAAUUCCCGGUGUAGCGGUGAAAUGCGCAGAUAUCGGGAGGAACACCGGUGGCGAAGGCGGGUCUCUGGGCCGAUACUGACGCUGAGGAGCGAAAGCGUGGGGAGCGAACAGG
rnacentral:rRNA from 1 species